UGGUCCACUUGGUGGUGAUGUCAGAU
rnacentral:piRNA from 1 species